rnacentral:ncRNA from 1 species
CUAUGCCCGGCCAGGACGAAGCCAGAGGAAACUCUGAUGAAAGUUCGCAGCAAUUCUGACGUGCAAAUCGAUCGUCGGACCUGGAUAUAG